GAACUGAAGAGUUUGAUCAUGGCUCAGAUUGAACGCUGGCGGCAGGCCUAACACAUGCAAGUCGAGCGGAUGAAGGGAGCUUGCUCCUGGAUUCAGCGGCGGACGGGUGAGUAAUGCCUAGGAAUCUGCCUGGUAGUGGGGGAUAACGUCCGGAAACGGGCGCUAAUACCGCAUACGUCCUGAGGGAGAAAGUGGGGGAUCUUCGGACCUCACGCUAUCAGAUGAGCCUAGGUCGGAUUAGCUAGUUGGUGGGGUAAAGGCCUACCAAGGCGACGAUCCGUA
rnacentral:rRNA from 1 species